rnacentral:rRNA from 1 species
UUCAGAGGUCCCGAGCGUUGUUCGGAUUUACUGGGCGUAAAGGGAGCGUAGGCGGUUCGGUAUGUCGAAUGCGAAAGCCCACAACUCAACUGUGGAAAUGCAUUCGAAACUGCCGGGCUAGAGUACUGGAGAGGAGAGCGGAAUUCUUGGUGUAGCGGUGAAAUGCGUAGAUAUCAAGAGGAACACCGGUGGCGAAGGCGGCUCUCUGGACAGAUACUGACGCUGAGGCUCUAAAGUUAGGGGAGCAAACAGGAUUAGAUACCCU